UUCAUACUCCCUUCGUCCGAAAAAACUUGUCCCAAACUUGUGCCUCAAAUGGAUGUAUCUAACACUAACUUGAUGCUAGAUACAACCAUUUAAAGGACAAUCUUUUUCGAACGGAGGGAGUACAUA
rnacentral:pre_miRNA from 1 species